GUGCCUAUAGCUCAACAGGAUAGAGCAGUUGCCUCCUAAGCGACCGAUCGAGUUCGAGUCCUCGUGGGCACACCA
rnacentral:tRNA from 1 species